CCUACGGGUGGCAGCAGUGAGGAAUAUUGGUCAAUGGACGAGAGUCUGAACCAGCCAAGUAGCGUGAAGGAUGACUGCCCUGUGGAUUGUAAACUUCUUUUAUAUGGGAAUAAAGUGUUCCACGUGUGGGAUGUUGUAUGUACCAUAUGAAUAAGGAUCGGCUAACUCCGUGCCAGCAGCCGCGGUAAUACGGAGGAUCCGAGCGUUAUCCGGAUUUAUUGGGUUUAAAGGGAGCGUAGGUGGAUUGUUAAGUCAGUUGUGAAAGUUUGCGGCUCAACCGUAAAAUUGCAGUUGAAACUGGCAGUCUCGAGUACAGUAGAGGUGGGCGGAAUUCGUGGUGUAGCGGUGAAAUGCAUAGAUAUCACGAAGAACUCCGAUUGCGAAGGCAGCUUACCGGCUUGAAACUGACACUGAGGCUCGAAAGUGUGGGUAUCAAACAGGAUUAGAUACCCGAGUAGUC
rnacentral:rRNA from 1 species